CGGACGGGUGAGUAACGCGUGGAUAACCUGCCUCACACUGGGGGAUAACAGUUGGAAAUGGCUGCUAAUACCGCAUAAGCGCACAGUACCGCAUGGUACGGUGUGAAAAACCCGGGUGGUGUGAGAUGGAUCCGCGUCUGAUUAGCCAGUUGGCGGGGUAACGGCCCACCAAAGCGACGAUCAGUAGCCGACCUGAGAGGGUGACCGGCCACAUUGGGACUGAGACACGGCCCAA
rnacentral:rRNA from 1 species